rnacentral:rRNA from 1 species
GAUGAACGCUGGCGGCGUGCCUAAUACAUGCAAGUCGAGCGAACGGACGAGAAGCUUGCUUCUCUGAUGUUAGCGGCGGACGGGUGAGUAACACGUGGAUACCCUACCUAUAAGACUGGGAUAACUUCGGGAACCCGGAGCUAAUACCGGAUAAUAUUUUGAACCGCAUGGUUCAAAAGUGAAAGACGGUCUUGCUGUCACUUAUAGAUGGAUCCGCGCUGCAUUAGCUAGUUGGUAAGGUAACGGCUUACCAAGGCAACGAUGCAUAGCCGACCUGAGAGGGUGAUCGGCCACACUGGAACUGAGACACGGUCCAGACUCCUACGGGAGGCAGCAGUGGGGAAUCUUCCGCAAUGGGCGAAAGCCUGACGGAGCAACGCCGCGUGAGUGAUGAAGGUCUUCGGAUCGUAAAGCUCUGUUAUUAGGGAAGAACAUAUGUGUAAGUAACUGUGCACAUCUUGACGGUACCUAAUCAGAAAGCCACGGCUAACUACGUG